UACGUAGGGUGCAAGCGUUAAUCGGAAUUACUGGGCGUAAAGCGUGCGCAGGCGGUUUUGUAAGUCUGACGUGAAAUCCCCGGGCUCAACCUGGGAAUUGCAUUGGAGACUGCAAGGCUUGAAUCUGGCAGAGGGGGGUAGAAUUCCACGUGUAGCAGUGAAAUGCGUAGAGAUGUGGAGGAACACCGAUGGCGAAGGCAGCCCCCUGAGUCAAGAUUGACGCUCAUGCACGAAAGCGUGGGGAGCAAACAGG
rnacentral:rRNA from 1 species